GUUGAAGGAACAGUCUUUGAUUUGCCAGAUGAUGUUGCAAAAGAGCUUCUUUUGAAGAAGAUACAACCAGGUUAUACGAUAUCAGCAAUCACCGAGUCUUCAUAGGUCAUGUUUUCAAGAGCAGGCAGAAGCUGUUGGAUUAUUGGUUGUUCAAUAGAACAAUGGAUAGCUUGAUUGCUGUCAGGUGUGAUAGUUGCGCUGAGAUGGAGAGAGUAUUUGUAAUUGAUAUCUUUAUCACAUAUUGUGCAAUGGGUAGUUUCUUCUUCAAGCAUUCCGUAGUCGUCGAACUUGUAGUUGCAUUUGGGGCAAUAUGCAUGAAAUGGAUUGGAAAAAGGAUUUAUUACUUUUAAGAUCCCAUGAACCUACAAGAUAAGUUUAACUGUUAGCAAGAGGAAAAAAUAUUAUUAUAA